AUUGAACGCUGGCGGCAGGCCUAAUACAUGCAAGUCGAGCGGAUGAAGGGAGCUUGCUCCUCAAUUCAGCGGCGGACGGGUGAGUAAUUCCUAGGAAUCUACCUGGCAGUUGGGGAUAACGUAAGGAAACGGGCGCUAAUAUCGUAUACGUUCUGAGGUAGAAAGUGGGGGAUCUUCGGUCAUAACUCUAUUAGCUUAGCCUAGAUCGGAUUAGCUAGUUGGUGGGGUAAGGGCCUACCAAGGCGACCAUCCGUAACUGGUCUGAGAGGAUGACCAGUCACACUGGAACUGAGACACGGUCCAGACUCCUACGGGAGGCAGCAGUGGGGAAUAUUGGACAAUGGGCGAAAGCCUGAUGCAGCCAUGCCGCGUGUGUGAGGAAGGUCUUCGGAUUGUAAAGCACGUUAAGUUGGGAGGAAGGUCAGUAAGGUAAAACCUUGAUGUUGUGACGUUACCAACAGAGAAAGCACCGGCUAACUUCGUG
rnacentral:rRNA from 1 species